rnacentral:rRNA from 1 species
ACGCUGGCGGCGUGCCUAAUACAUGCAAGUCGAGCGAAUCUGAGGGAGCUUGCUCCCAAAGAUUAGCGGCGGACGGGUGAGUAACACGUGGGCAACCUGCCUGUAAGACUGGGAUAACUCCGGGAAACCGGGGCUAAUACCGGAUAAUAUCUAUUUAUACAUAUAAUUAGAUUGAAAGAUGGUUCUGCUAUCACUUACAGAUGGGCCCGCGGCGCAUUAGCUAGUUGGUGAGGUAACGGCUCACCAAGGCGACGAUGCGUAGCCGACCUGAGAGGGUGAUCGGCCACACUGGGACUGAGACACGGCCCAGACUCCUACGGGAGGCAGCAGUAGGGAAUCUUCCGCAAUGGACGAAAGUCUGACGGAGCAACGCCGCGUGAGUGAUGAAGGUUUUCGGAUCGUAAAACUCUGUUGUUAGGGAAGAACAAGUACCGGAGUAACUGCCGGUACCUUGACGGUACCUAACCAGAAAGCCACGGCUAACUACGUGCCAGCAGCCGCGGUAAUACGUAGGUGGCAAGCGUUGUCCGGAAUUAUUGGGCGUAAAGCGCGCGCAGGCGGUUCCUUAAGUCUGAUGUGAAAGCCCACGGCUCACCGUGGAGGGUCAUUGGAAACUGGGGAACUUGA